GACAGAGGAUGCAAGCGUUAUCCGGAAUCAUUGGGCGUAAAGGGCGCGUAGGUGGCGGCUUAAGCGUGCGGUGAAAGCUCGGGGCUCAACCCCGAGUCGGCCGUGCGAACUGAGUCGCUUGAGCACUGUAGAGGCAGGCGGAAUUCCGGGUGUAGCGGUGGAAUGCGCAGAUAUCAGGAGGAACACCGGUGGCGAAGGCAGAUCUCUGGGGCCGUAACUGACGCUGAGGAGCGAAAGCAUGGGGAGCGAACAGG
rnacentral:rRNA from 1 species